rnacentral:tRNA from 1 species
UUCUUCAUAGCUUAAUGGUAGAGUACUGUUGCGUAAAACUAGAGGCACGGGUUCGAUUCCCGGCGAGGGAG